GUGGAGUGUCCUCCGGGUGCUGGCACGUGCUCAGCCUCUGACAGUUCAGGCUUUACGCCGCCUCCCGCGGCAGUCCGUGCACACCUGCUGGGCACUCCCGAUGACCCCUGUACUUUUAAUGGCCUGGUGUCACUCCAUAGGGGGACUCAAGAGUGUGCUGAGAAGUAGGUCUGCUCUGUAUUUGCUCAUCCGUACUGGGGCCCUAGACCCACGGCUGGCAUUUCAGCUCCUGUGCAUUCUGGCUGCAUGGCGCCUGUGCUGUUCUGGUCGUUACACGUAACUCGAGGUUGUUCUGGGAGCAAAUGAAGUGAUGGCGAUGGUCAGUGGUGUGCAGUUAAUGUGUAACAACCAGCUUUCCAGGGCAAAACAUUCCUUGGGGCCAGCCUGGUGGUGUAGUUGGUAAGUUUGCACGCACCACUUUGGCGGGCCAGGGUUCAUGGGUUCAGACCCCAGGUGUGGACCUACACACCACUCAUCAAGCUGUGGAGGUGACCCACAGACAAAAUAGAGGCAGACUGACUGGCACAGAUGUUAGUUCAGGGCCAAUCUUCCUCUCCAAAAAAAAAAAAAAAAAUUUUCCUGAUUUGUAGCAUUUGCCAGUUUCUGUGGUGUAAAUACUUCCACCCUGGCCAAUUUCAAGCUACUAAAGGCCACCGCUGCACACUGAAUUGGGAAGAGAUGAGCUGGUGUAGGCUAGCUCCCCAGGCCAUUGAUGUCUCUGGGGUGGACACAGCAUGCAGUCAGUGGUGGCCAUUAUUGUGGUUAUCUUUGAGGACUGGACAUAUCAAGUUGAUCUGCUGAAGGAAAAAAAUAAACUAACAUCUACCAGGAAGCGGGUGGUGUGAUAUGCCGGCUCCUGCUCCCGUGGACGCCAUGCUAAGAACAUUAAUGCUUAUGAGGUGGGCCUGAUACUUUGUCCUGAAUACAGAUGAUGGAACAGAGGCUCAGAGAGGUUAAGGAGCUCACCCUAGGUCACACAGCUUGGAAGUGGUGGAGCUGUGACUUGAGUCCAGGUCUUUCUACUUCGAACCCUCAGGUCAGCAGCCCACUCUUGCUGCAGCUAUCGUAUCACUCCUUCUGCUGCCUUCUGCUUAUGAAGAAUCUCUGUUUUUAGUCUCCAGACUUGUAUAAAAUAUAAAUCCCUUUUUGGAGGCCUUGUCGGGUGCAUGUGGAUGUGGAGAAAUGUCAGAUGCAGAUGGUGCUGUGGACCGUUGGACCAGUUUUCCAGAGCUGAGGGACCUUGUGGCCUUGGAUUAAGAUUUUUCAUCCAAGGUCCUGGCUUCACAGCAUCAGAGCUCAUCAUGGGCUGCAGGGAAUUUUAGUGGCCAUUCUGACCAGCUCCCCCGAUUUUCAGGUGAGGAAGCUGAGGAGGCCCAGAGAGGGGCGACAGCUUGCCAUGGUCACACAGCAGGUUGGCACCCCAGCCGGAUGAGAGCCCCGGCCUCGGAGCCCCAGCCUGGGCUGGCCAGGUCUCAGCUCCUGCCGACUCUUGAGUCACGGGAUUUGGGUUCUGCGAGUCUGCAGUACAGACAGGACAGGCUGCGUCCUCCGGGAAGGGGCCUCGUGGUCGCUGAGAAGACGAGCAUGUAAGGAAAGCUGGUGGGUGACGAGCCAGCGCCCUGUCUGUCUCCUGCAGGAAAGCAGUGAGGAGUCACUCCGCCAAGGUCUCUUAAAGGAGAAGGCUGUGUUAUUUCCCGAGCUGCUUCCUGCGUGGUGCAACCGAGCUGAGAGCCGGAGCCGACUUUGGAAGGCUCAUCCUCCAACCCACUCUCCCGUCGGUGGAAAGGUUUAUAGGAAACAAAGGCUCAGAGAGGCAAAGUGAUUACCCAAGGUCACACAGCUGGAACGCAAUGAAGCCAGGACAUGAACCUGCUCCUAGGGCCCUCCUGUUUUCCAUCCCACGGCCAGUCGUCUCAACCAAGAAGGUCUCAGAGUCAGUCUACACAGAGAGAACACGCCUCCGUCACAUCCACUCCUCUCCCAUGUCCGUCCACGGCCUGGGCACGUCAGAUUUGGGGUCCCACCGUCUCGGAUCCCACGCUUCUGGUGUGCUUGGGAACGGAAGGUGUUUGGGGACAAGCCGGGUAGGAGGCCCGGCUGCCGAAACAAAGAGAGAGAAGGCAAGUUCAGGGGCGCGAGCUAGGGCGGGGGGCGCCCACUGCUUCUUUCUGCAGCCUCCCGAGUCAGCGGGUGGCUCGCACACACACGGUGCCGGGGUUUAAGCCCUGUUUCUAACCACGUGCAUGUAGUUAAUCUCUCCGAGCCUCAGUGUUUAUGAAACAGGAAUAAUAAAAAUGCCCACCCAUACAGUUGCGUGAUUAAAUGGCGUGAUGCGCGAGGACAGCUAUGCCUGUGCCCGGCUCACGGUAAGGACUCGGCGAAUGUGCAAUGUGAAGGUAUGGAUAUUGUAAGUCAGCAAACAGAUGUUGCAUUCUGAGUCUAUGGUAGGAGUCAUUUCCAUGUAUCUCACUUAAAAAAAAUCACAAUAACCCUGGUGGGGGGGGGGUGUUGUUAUUAUCUUUACUUUGUAGAUAAGGAAGCCUAGACUUAGGAAGAAGAGUGGCAGAGCCAAGUGAAUCCCCCGGAGUUUGCCAAAUCCGCCAGUGGGGUCUCCCUGCCACACUCACCUGAGCCCAGGUUCAGGGCCUGCUGAGACCCACAGCACAACGAAGCCAGGUCUGACUGGAGGGUGGACCUCCGGGAGCUCAGCUGGGUAGUGCGAGGCCUCGUGUCAGCCAAUGGCAGCAGGUUUUACUGAUGCUUCUGGAGGGCCCACCCUCUGGAAAUGCAAGCCCGUUGGUUCCCAGGACUGGAAGCCUCAAGCACGUGUGGCCCUAGACCUCAAAGAGGGUUUGGCUGCUGUGGCUUCUCUGGCAACAAAAGCUGUUGAUUUGUUUUUUGAGCCGAGUGGCUAGUUGAGGGCACCAGCCACAACCUGCUAUUAGGAGCUCCUCACUGCGGUCUGCGUGGAGCGCUCAGGGAAGAGCCCCCGUGUGUCCUGGGAUCCCACGGUCUCUUGUUUCUUCCCUCUUGGUUGGCAUGUGGCUGGGGCAGGGGACACCCUGGGGAUUUCGGCGUGAGUCUCUCUCCCUCACAGGACUGUGCAGAGCUCUCCUGAAGCUGUGGGACCAACCACAUCUGAGGAGUCCUCACUCCCAGACCCCUGCCCUUUUAGGUCCUCGGUGUUUCCAAACACUUCUUCAGGACCCGUUCCUGGAGAACUUUCUGUAGAUAUGGAUGCAAAUACAGAAGGGUGGGCCCCAAAGCACUUCUGGUGAUUGAAUGUGCUGCCUCUGUGCAUUGCUUUGUCUCUCUCUGUCCACCCCUCACCAGAACGGAUGCUUCCCAGCUUGGGAUCUUGCCUCUCUUGUCCUCUGAUAUAUCCUCAGUGCCUAGAACACGGUGCUCUACAACAGCACAGAGCAGGGGAGCCACUAUUGAUCCAUGGGUGUGCCCUGGCAACUGGUACAGGGUCUUGUGCUCAGUGUCUGCUUCAUCAGGAGCUGGACCCAAUCACCCACUAAAUGGUCAUUUGUUAAUUAACUAAGGGAUGAAUACUGGAAGUAGACUGGUGAGGAAAAAACAAGAUUCGGUUCCAGCCUUCCUGGACUUGCUAGGGGAGUUGGACCAGUGGAGCUCAAUCCAGUUCAGCUUGACUCAACUCAACUGAGCUCAUCACAACUAAGUUCAGCUCAAUGCAGGUCAACUCAUCUUGACUUAGCUCAGUGCACAUCAGCUCCGCUCAACGCAGUGCUCAGAGUGGAUCAUCUCUGCUCAAUGGACCCACCUUGACUCGACUCAGUGCAGCUCAACUCAACACAACUCAGCUGUACUAGGCUUGCUUGGUUCAACUCCACUUAACUCAACUCAGCUCAACUGGGAACGGCUACAUUCAGUCAAUUAGGGAGGCAUUAACCGAGUAUCAAGGUUAGAGGCUCAUGUGGUUGAUUCCUCCAGGAACACAUACUUUAGUCAUUAAAAUAAGGAGUUUGGAUAUGAAGAAUGUAGAUAGUAAUAUACAAGCAAAGACUUUAAAGCUCAAUGGAAGGAACAGCUACUUCUCACUGGUGAAGGCUUCUUGAAAGUCAUAUUAUUUCAGGUACAAUUUAAUUUUGACUAAUGUUGGAGGGCUGGGGCAGGAAGUCAGUCCAGAAAGCGAGAACAGCCUGAGAAAUGCCUGGACAGGGUGGAAUAAAUGGCUUGACUUGGGAGUGGAUACAGAGGUGUAGAAGGUAAUAGGCGACAAGGCUAAAAGACAGUGAGGAGGGAGUUCAAGACAGUUCUGAAUGGCAUGCUUUUGGACUUUUUCUGUAAGAACAGAAAUCUGCUGCAUGAUUUCACUUCAUUCUUGCAAAAGCCCUAGGAAACAUUUAAGGUAGGGAUGGUGAUUUCCAUUUUACAGAUGAAGAAAUGGAGGCUUAGAGAAGUUAAUGCCUGCUCAGGUAGAGGUUGGUUGAGUUGGAAAUUAAAUCACAUCAAGAGAACUGUCUUCUUUGUUUUCAUUUCCUCAGCCCCACAGCUGGCACUCAGGAGCUGGAGUGUGGUAUGAUUCAAGCUAUAUUUUCACACCAUAAAUGUUGGGAGAACAGAGGAUGGGUGGGAAGGGAUGAGGCAGGAAGACUAGGUAGGAGAGAAGAGUAUCUGGGAAUCCAGGGCCCCAGGGAUGAUGGAGAGAGGAAGUGUUGGCUAAAUACUCAUCUAUAAGUUCCCACCAAAUGUCAUGCAGAAUCUACAGGGCAUUUAACAGCCUUGGAAGAUUAUGGUCUCGUCUUUCUAAGUCUCUUACAUUCUAAAACCUCAAGUUCUUCAUCUGCAAUUAUGGAAUUUAUAGUACUAUUCCCCCUAAGGAUUGUGAAAAUUCAAUUGGUAUACAAGUGCUUAAAAAGUCAAGUAUUUUUGAACUUAAGAAAAAUAUGGAGAGUAAUAUAACUAAUACUCAUGCACCCACUACCUAGAAUAAAUAAAUAUUAAUGUUUUGUUAAGUUGGCUUUGGCUUUUUUGUUUCUUUUGGAAGCAAAGUCCUUGACAGUUGUGUUGACAUUCCACUAUACCCCUCUCCAAAUCUGUCCUUCUCACUCCCUGC
ensembl:lncRNA